GGACCUGCUCCUCUCCUGGGUACAUAAAGGAGGGAGGCGGGCUUUGUGUCCCAACGCUGACCAACUAGACAUCUGCCUUCCCUCCAUCUCUAACUGUCUCUCUGUAUCGGUCUGUCUGUCCAGCUGUCUGUCUGUCUAGUGGCCAGCUACACUGCUAAGAAGGCUCCAGGCGGGGGAGGUCGUCACCAGUCAUGGCCCAGCGGGUGUGUUUCCGCCCCGGACAGCCGAGCCGAACAGAGACUACCACCGACCGCUCAGGAGGACAGCUGUACCUACCAGGAAGUGAACCUGUCCGAUGAGCCCAGGGGUCCAUGGCGACGCGGGAGGCCGGCGACGGCGCCGUGUCCGCGGGGGUACCGGCCCACGGAGCGGACCAGCAGAAGAAACCGCGCAGGAAGGACACGCCGGUCCUCACCGCCCCGCCACACAUACCCGGCAUACGGCUGCUGAUGGGAGAGAGGCCGAGCGUCUUCCUGGAGGACGAGGAGAGGAACGGGAGGGAGUAGAGAAACAGCGCUCUUUGAACUCUUUUUAACCAAUGGGGUUUUUUCGUUGGGGCAACUCGAUUAAAUGUAGCUUUCAAACUUU